CAAAGACAAAAAAAAAAAACAGGAAAUGAAACAAACAAACAAACCAAAAAAACAAUAAAACGAGGAAAAAAACAGGAAAACAGGAAAAUAUUGAGGAAAACGAGACAAUGAAACGAUAGAGAAAAACGAAGACAGAAAAAAAAAACAGGAAAUCAACAUGAAAAAAACAAAGGAAAAGGUGAACCAGAAAACAAUAAAACGAGGAAAAAAAAACAGGAAAACAGGAAAAUAUUGAGGAAAACGAGACAAUGACAUGAAAGAGAAAAACGAAGACAGAAAGAAAAUACAUGAAAAAACAAAGGAAAAGGUGAACCAGAAAACAAUAAAACGAGGAAAAAAACAGGAAAACAGGAAAAUAUUGAGGAAAACGAGACAAUGACACGAAAGAGAAAAACGAAGACAGAAAGAAAAUACAUGAAAAAACAAAGGAAAAGGUGAACCAGAAAACAAUAAAACAAGGAAAAAAACAGGAAAUAGACAGGACAAAAACAGGACAACCCCCAAAAUGCCCCCCGCCCCGGACCUGUGUUGGGGGCCGCCAUUUUAGCUCCAAAUCCUCCCACG